rnacentral:rRNA from 1 species
UACGUAGGCAGCGAGCGUUGUUCGGGAGUUACUGGGCGUAAAGGGUGUGUAGGCGGUUCUUUAAGUUUGGUGUGAAAUCUCCCGGCUCAACCGGGAGGGUGCGCCGAAUACUGAGGGACUCGAGUGCGGGAGAGGAAAGUGGAAUUCCUGGUGUAGCGGUGAAAUGCGUAGAUAUCAGGAGGAACACCGGUGGUGUAGACGGCUUUC